GGCGGAAACACGUCACUGCGGGACCGCUGCGAGCGACGCACACAGCGCGAGGCCCGAGCCGGGUCCGUUAAAACCGUUGGGAAUCAGCCCCGGCGCGCGGCCGUUAAAGCACGACUGGGCAGGUCGGCCAGUGAGAACAGCGAGAAGAGUUUAAAAGGAAGACAGAUUUACAGAGCGAGCGUCAGAGGAGCGGGAGACAGAGUAGGAAGGCUUUGGCUCAACGGGGCUUCGGCGAUGAAGGGUCGAGGCGAGGUUUGCGGAUGACACUAAGAUGUAGGCAUUGUGGACAGCGAGGAAGGCUUUCAAAGCUUGCAGAGGGAUCUGAACCAACUGGAAGAAUGGGCCAGAAAAUGGCAGAUGGAAUUUAAUGCAGACAAGUGUGAGGUGUUCCAUUUUGGAAGGACAAAUCAAGGUACGACAUACACGAUAAAUGGUAGGGCACUGAAGAGUGCGGAGGAACAAAGGGAGCUGGGGGUUCCGAUACAUAAUUCCCUGAAAGUGGCAUCACAGGUAGACAGGGUUGUAAAGAAGGCUUUUGGCAUCCUGUCAUUCAUAAAUCAAAGUACUGAGUAUAGGAGUUGGAAUAUUAUGGUGAGGUUGUAUAAGACAUUGGUGAGGCCAAAUUUGGAGUAUUGUGUGCAGUUCUGAUCACCUAACUAUAGGAAGGAUAUCGGUAAGUUUGAAAAAGUGCAGAGAAGAUUUACUAGGAUGUUGCCAGGUCUUCAGGAGUUGAGUUACAGGGAAAGAUUGAACAGGUUACGACUUUAUUCCUUGGAGUGCAGAAGAAUGAGGGGAGAUUUGAUAGAGGUUUACAAUAUUAUGAGGGUAUAGACAGGGUAAAUGCGAAUAGGCUCUUUCCACAUAGAUUAGGAGAGAUAAAUAUGAGAAGACAUGGCUUCAGCGUGAAAGGGGAAAGGUUUAGGGGGAGCAUUAGGAGGAAAUUCACUCAGAGGGUGGCGAGAGUGUGGAACGAGCUGCCAUCUGAUGUGGAAAAUACGGACUCACUCUUAAGCUUUAAGAAUAAAUUGGAUAGAUACAUGGAUGGGAGAGGACUGGAGGGUUAUGGACUGGGAGCAGGUCAAUGGAACUAGCGGAAUAAGGUUUCGGUACAGACUAGAAGGACCGAAUGGCUUGUUUUCUGUGCUGUAGUGUUCUAUGAUUUUAUGAUUCUAUGGGGAGGAGAGUUCCCACAAGCAAAAGGGGAAUGGGGAUGGGGAAGAGAUCCCACAGGAGGUCGGGGGAUGGGGAAGGGAGAUCCCACAGCCGGCAUGGGAGUGUGGAAGAGAGAUCCCACGGGAGGAUGAGGCAUGGGGAAGAGAGAUCCCACAGGAGGAAGGGGGAUAUAGACAGAAAAUAAACAGGAUGAAGGGGGAAGGGGUUAAGAGAUCGGCCAGGAGGGAGAGGGAUGUGGAACAGAGUUCCCACAGGAGGAUGUGGGAUUGGGAAGAGAAAUCUCACAGGAGGAAGGGGGUCGGGGAAGAGAAAUUCCACAGGACAAUGGGGCAUGCCAAAGAGAGAUCCGACAGGAAGAAUUCGAUGGGGGAGAGAGAUCCCACAGGAGGAAAGGGUAUGGGGAAGAGAAUUCCAA